GUAGCGAAAGUUACGCUAAUACCGCAUAUUCUGUGAGCAGGAAAGCAGGGGAUCGCAAGACCUUGCGCUGAUUGAGCGGCCGAUAUCAGAUUAGCUAGUUGGUGAGGUAAAGGCUCACCAAGGCGACGAUCUGUAGCGGGUCUGAGAGGAUGAUCCGCCACACUGGAACUGAGACACGUUCCAGACUCCUACGGGAGGCAGCAGUGGGGAAUUUUGGACAAUGGGGGCAACCCUGAUCCAGCCAUGCCGCGUGAGUGAAGAAGGCCUUCGGGUUGUAAAGCUCUUUCAGCCGGGAAGAAAACGCAUGGGUUAAUACCCUGUGUGGAUGACGGUACCGGAAUAAGAAGCACCGGCUAACUACGUGCCAGCAGCCGCGGUAAUACGUAGGGUGCGAGCGUUAAUCGGAAUUACUGGGCGUAAAGCGUGCGCAGGCGGUUUGUUAAGAUAGGCGUGAAAUCCCCGGGCUCAACCUGGAACUGCGUUUAUGACUGGCAGGCUAGAGUAUGGCAGAGGGGGGUGGAAUUCCACGUGUAGCAGUGAAAUGCUAGAGAUGUGGAGGAACACCGAUGGCGAAGGCAGCCCCCUGGGCCAAUACUGACGCUCAUGCACGAAAGCGUGGGUAGCAAACAGGAUUAGAUACCCUGGUAGUCCACGCCCUAAACGAUGUCAACUAGGUGUUGGGAGGGUAAAACCUUUUAGUACCGGAGCUAACGCGUGAAGUUGACCGCCUGGGGAGUACGGCCGCAAGGUUAAAACUCAAAGGAAUUGACGGGGACCCGCACAAGCGGGGAUGAUGUGGAUUAAUUCGAUGCAACGCGAAAAACCUUACCUACCCUUGACAUGUCCAGAAGCCCUUAGAGAUUUGGGUGUGCCCGAAAGGGAGCUGGAACACAGGUGCUGCAUGGCUGUCGUCAGCUCGUGUCGUGAGAUGUUGGGUUAAGUCCCGCAACGAGCGCAACCCUUGUCGUUAAUUGCCAUCAUUUAGUUGGGCACUUUAACGAGACUGCCGGUGACAAACCGGAGGAAGGUGGGGAUGACGUCAAGUCCUCAUGGCCCUUAUGGGUAGGGCUUCACACGUCAUACAAUGGUC
rnacentral:rRNA from 1 species